UGACUAUCUGUCUCAUCGUAAUUGCUGUGAAGUAAAAGGGAAGGAAGAGGCACUUUUUGUAAACAAGUAUUUCAGUGUGUGGAGAACUUGGUGUAGCACAGUGGUGCAAACACUCUAGAACUCAAUGCAAAAACCUGAGACUGCAAAAAUAAGCAAACAUCUUGAAGAAAGAAGGAAUUGAAAGUAUUGAAGGAGAAAACUGCACAGUUCUUGUGGGUUUUUUUGUUGUUGUUGUUUUGUUUUGUUUUGUUGAAUUAUACUGCUUCUCGAGCAAGGAGAAGAGAAAAGAUGGCUUUAAAAGAUUUGGCUUGCAACGAGUUGUUUGAAAUCAUGCUACUACAAAAACACUGUCUUCUUCCCUCAUCGAUUUGUAGAGUUUUCAUGGUGUUCCAUUCGCAGAUCCUUUGGAGUGUCUAUAAUUUCUUUCUCUGAUUUUAUACACCUUAGACAUGUGGCAAGAAAAGUGUUUUUUUGACUGUGCAGAAAUACUGUGGCAACAGACAAGAUCGUAUUUGGAAGUGGGAUCACUUUCUCAGUUGAACCAAAGCCAAGGUGUAUGGAAAGGAGAAGAGAAAUGUUAAGUGCUUCAGCAGAAAAGAGGUCCUAUGGAAAGAUAGGACACAACAUUUAUAGCAAUAAAUGAUUGAAAUGUGAGAAAGCACUGCAUGUUUGGAAAUGCCACUCUACAAAAGAAAGACAAAAAGAUUCUACACCAGAAGUCAUUGCACUUAAAUCAAAGGAGUGCAAACAGUAUGCCAGUGUUUUGAAUGUGGCUUGUUUGGCAAGAACAUUCUACAAGAACAUUAGUCUUGAUGGGCCCAAGGGUGACAUUGUGUAUGAUCUGAAGGAACCUAUUCUCACAUCUGAGGGGAUGUACAGUACCUUGAAAGUAGUCGGCGUAAAACGAGAUACAGAAGGGACCUGCAAAGCUGUGCACAAGGGGAAUAAGACUGUAGCAAGCACAGUCCUGCCUGAAGAGAAAGAUGAAGAACUGGCAUCAGAGAAUGCUUGCAACUUUACAGAUGCCUCUAAAAAAGGUUAGUUACCUCAAACAGUAAUAUUGUCAAUGCGCUUUACUGGGGAUUCAGUAGCAUCACAUGGAAACAGUACAGAAAUGUCUGAAUUGUAGAUACUGGUUAAGCAGUAAGUUUCACUUGUGGAUUCCAUAAAAAGGCAUGAAGAAAAUGCUUUUUCUGAUGCAAAAAUGUCAGAUUACGGAGUAAAAACAUGCCAUUUCAAAUUAACAGGUUAAAUAGAUGACAAUG
rnacentral:lncRNA from 1 species